rnacentral:rRNA from 1 species
UACAGAGGUCUCAAGCGUUGUUCGGAUUCAUUGGGCGUAAAGGGUGCGUAGGCGGCGCGGUAAGUCGGGGUGUGAAAUCUUGGAGCUUAACUCCGAAACUGCAUUCGAUACUGCCGUGCUUGAGGACUGGAGAGGAGACUGGAAUUUACGGUGUAGCGGUGAAAUGCGUAGAUAUCGUAAGGAAGACCAGUGGCGAAGGCGGGUCUCUGGACAGUUCCUGACGCUGAGGCACGAAGGCCAGGGGAGCAAACGGG